AUAUCAAUAAGCGGAGGAAAAGAAACCAACCGGGAUUGCCUUAGUAACGGCGAGUGAAGCGGCAAAAGCUCAAAUUUGAAAUCUGGUACCUUCGGUGCCCGAGUUGUAAUUUGGAGAGGGCAACUUUGGGGCCGUUCCUUGUCUAUGUUCCUUGGAACAGGACGUCAUAGAGGGUGAGAAUCCCGUGUGGCGAGGAGUGCGGUUCUUUGUAAAGUGCCUUCGAAGAGUCGAGUUGUUUGGGAAUGCAGCUCUAAGUGGGUGGUAAAUUCCAUCUAAAGCUAAAUAUUGGCGAGAGACCGAUAGCGAACAAGUACAGUGAUGGAAAGAUGAAAAGAACUUUGAAAAGAGAGUGAAAAAGUACGUGAAAUUGUUGAAAGGGAAGGGCAUUUGAUCAGACAUGGUGUUUUGUGCCCUCUGCUCCUUGUGGGUAGGGGAAUCUCGCAUUUCACUGGGCCAGCAUCAGUUUUGGUGGCAGGAUAAAUCCAUAGGAAUGUAGCUUGCCUCGGUAAGUAUUAUAGCCUGUGGGAAUACUGCCAGCUGGGACUGAGGACUGCGACGUAAGUCAAGGAUGCUGGCAUAAUGGUUAUAUGCCGC
rnacentral:rRNA from 1 species